UACGUAGGUGGCAAGCGUUGUCCGGAAUUAUUGGGCGUAAAGCGCGCGCAGGCGGUCCUUUAAGUCUGAUGUGAAAGCCCACGGCUCAACCGUGGAGGGUCAUUGGAAACUGGGGACUUGAGUACAGAAGAGAAGAGUGGAAUUCCACGUGUAGCGGUGAAAUGCGUAGAGAUGUGGAGGAACACCAGUGGCGAAGGCGACUCUUUGGUCUGUAACUGACGCUGAGGCGCGAAAGCGUGGGGAGCAAACAGG
rnacentral:rRNA from 1 species